UACAGAGGUCUCAAGCGUUGUUCGGAUUCAUUGGGCGUAAAGGGUGCGUAGGCGGCGCGGUAAGUCGGGUGUGAAAUCUCGGGGCUUAACUCCGAAACUGCAUUCGAUACUACCGUGCUUGAGGACUGGAGAGGAGACUGGAAUUUACGGUGUAGCGGUGAAAUGCGUAGAUAUCGUAAGGAAGACCAGUGGCGAAGGCGGGUCUCUGGACAGUUCCUGACGCUGAGGCACGAAGGCCCAGGGGAGCAAACGGG
rnacentral:rRNA from 1 species